GACGGAGGGUGCAAACGUUGUUCGGAAUUACUGGGCGUAAAGCGCGUGUAGGCUGUUCGGCAAGUCGGACGUGAAAGCCCUGGGCUUAACCCAGGAAGUGCAUUCGAAACUCCCGAACUCGAGUCCUGGAGAGGAAGGCGGAAUUCUCGGUGUAGAGGUGAAAUUCGUAGAUAUCGAGAGGAACAUCGGUGGCGAAGGCGGCCUUCUGGACAGUGACUGACGCUGAGACGCGAAAGCGUGGGGAGCGAACAGG
rnacentral:rRNA from 1 species